AGCAGCCGCGGUAAUUCCAGCUCCAAUAGCGUAUAUUAAAGUUGUUGCAGUUAAAAAGCUCGUAGUUGAAUUUCGGGAUUAGUACGUUGGUCGUGCCUUCGGUACGUACUGGUGUUGCUGAUUCCUACCUUCUGACGAACCAUCAUGUCAUUAAUUUGGUGUGGCGGGGAAUCAGGACUGUUACUUUGAAAAAAUUAGAGUGUUUAAAGCAGGCUCGCGCUUGAAUACAUUAGCAUGGAAUAAUGAAAUAGGACGUUGACCCUAUUUUGUUGGUUUCUAGGAUUGACGUAAUGAUUAAUAGGGAUAGUUGGGGGCAUUAGUAUUCAAUUGUCAGAGGUGAAAUUCUUGGAUUUAUUGAAGACUAACUACUGCGAAAGCAUUUGCCAAGGAUGUUUUCAUUAAUCAAGAACGAAAGUUAGGGGAUCGAAGACGAUCAGAUACCGUCGUAGUCUUAACCAUAAACUAUGCCGACUAGGGAUCGGAUGAUGUUAUUUUUAAUGACUCA
rnacentral:rRNA from 1 species